UACGAAGGGUGCAAGCGUUAAUCGGAAUUACUGGGCGUAAAGCGUGCGUAGGCGGUUUGUUAAGUCUGUUGUGAAAUCCCCGGGCUCAACCUGGGAAUGGCAAUGGAUACUGGCAAGCUAGAGUGUGUCAGAGGAUGGUGGAAUUCCCGGUGUAGCGGUGAAAUGCGUAGAGAUCGGGAGGAACACCAGUGGCGAAGGCGGCCAGCUGGGACAACACUGACGCUGAGGCACGAAAGCGUGGGGAGCAAACAGG
rnacentral:rRNA from 1 species